AGAGUUAGAAGUUAGGUGCAUGAAUUAAAAGUUAGAUGCGAAAAUUAAAGAAUUAGAAGUUAGAUGUAGAAUGUUAGGAUGUUAAUCAAGAUCAAAAGAGAAAAUAUAAGAGAGUUAAUAUCAAAUGUAAAAAUCUAAACCAAAUUCACAAAUCAAAACAAUCACCAAAUUAUUAUAAUCACAUGAAAUUCUAAGAGUAAACAAUAUCACAAUAAAAUUCUAACACUAAAACACUUAUCAAAAUAAAAUCUAACAAUAAAACAAUUAUCAAAAUAAAAUCUAACAAUAAAACAAAUUCUAAAACUAAUCUAAUUAGCCUAAAAUUAAUCAAAUUAAAUGCCCUAAUUAAGCUACUAGUGUAUCCUAACUACUACUAACCUAAUAGUAACCACCAAAAGAGACAAGGAAAUGGACUAAUAAAAAAUACUGUAGAAUGGGCCUAACAGCGAAAGCCCAAUCGUAUGGGGGAUAUGCAUGCUAACUAAGGGGUGGCGGAAAACAAACAACAAAAAGAAGGUUGGGCCCGGUCCAACAAAACAAGUCCAAGGGACCACCUCUCUGUCAAUUCACUUCAGCGGCUUACGAAAAAAAAUGAAACCAAACGGAGGAGAUCCUAAUCGCAUCGGCCUCCGCCACCGCCGGCGAUGAGCCAUCACGCGCCAUCUCUAUUUUAUUCUCCUGACUAAAAUGCAAAACGAAUACACCUAAGCCAAUCGAGGUGCUAACACGAAGGUUCCUCGACAGAACGGACCAAGCGUCGACUCUAAAACGGCAAGGGAUUCGACAUCAAUCCACCACAGCAAAUGUAAUAACCAACGCGAAGUGAAAAGGUUCCUACCAGCGAUGGCGCAAGAAGCUUCAACGAGGACGUCGGAUCUGAAACGCAGAAUUCGAUUCGCAUGCGGAGUGGUUGCGGUUUGAUGUGGAAUUGCAGAAAUUUUAAUGGAAGAAAUGGAGAUUGAAGUGUGACUUGCGGAAGUUGAAGAUUGGCAGAGUUACUAUGGAUUCGAAGUGGAAGAGAACUGGAGGCUCUAUGUGGAUCGAAAGUUGGUUGUGGAAGGUUGAAGAAGAAAGAGGAGGAAGAGGGAGUUCUGGAAGAAAGAUUCGAGAGAGAGAACCCAACUUCACUCCAUCAACUGUGUUUAAAUAGAAUUUUGGAGGAUUUAGAUGCGCAUUACAGGUCGCGUAUGAGUGUCGUUUACGUGCGUUUAGGGCUGGUGGUGUGCGUUGUCGUUUAUGCAGGUUAUACCGUUGGUUCGCGUUUUGCUUUGUGUACUUGCGUUUUUUUCAUGUCGUUGGUCAUGGUUGUUGGUGUAGCUUACUGCAGGAUACCAAUUAAAAGUGGAAACAUGACAAAACUGGAUUAGUAAAUUAAUUAAAUGGAUAAAUGGAUAUUGGUUUUUUU